rnacentral:rRNA from 1 species
CUACCAUGCAGUCGAACGAUGAUGCCCAGCUUGCUGGGUUGAUUAGUGGCGAACGGGUGAGUAACACGUGAGUAACCUGCCCCUGACUCUGGGAUAAGCGUUGGAAACGACGUCUAAUACUGGAUAUGAUCGCCGGCCGCAUGGUCUGGUGGUGGAAAGAUUUUUUGGUUGGGGAUGGACUCGCGGCCUAUCAGCUUGUUGGUGAGGUAAUGGCUCACCAAGGCGACGACGGGUAGCCGGCCUGAGAGGGUGACCGGCCACACUGGGACUGAGACACGGCCCAGACUCCUACGGGAGGCAGCAGUGGGGAAUAUUGCACAAUGGGCGAAAGCCUGAUGCAGCAACGCCGCGUGAGGGAUGACGGCCUUCGGGUUGUAAACCUCUUUUAGUAGGGAAGAAGCGAAAGUGACGGUACCUGCAGAAAAAGCACCGGCUAACUACGUGCCAGCAGCCGCGGUAAUACGUAGGGUGCAAGCGUUGUCCGGAAUUAUUGGGCGUAAAGAGCUCGUAGGCGGUUUGUCGCGUCUGCUGUGAAAUCCCGAGGCUCAACCUCGGGCUUGCAGUGGGUACGGGCAGACUAGAGUGCGGUAGGGGAGAUUGGAAUUCCUGGUGUAGCGGUGGAAUGCGCAGAUAUCAGGAGGAACACCGAUGGCGAAGGCAGAUCUCUGGGCCGUAACUGACGCUGAGGAGCGAAAGCAUGGGGAGCGAACAGGAUUAGAUACCCUGGUAGUCCAUGCCGUAAACGUUGGGCGCUAGAUGUAGGGACCUUUCCACGGUUUCUGUGUCGUAGCUAACGCAUUAAGCGCCCCGCCUGGGGAGUACGGCCGCAAG